rnacentral:rRNA from 1 species
CCAAUAGCGUAUAUUAAAGUUGUUGCAGUUAAAAAGCUCGUAGUUGAAUUUCGGGACCAGUAUGUCGGUCGUGCUUCGGUACGUACUUGCAUUAUUGGUUUCUCCCUUCUGACGAACCAUGAUGUCAUUAAUUUGAUGUCAUGGGAAAUCAGGACUGUUACUUUGAAAAAAUUAGAGUGUUUAAAGCAGGCUCGCGCUUGAAUACAUUAGCAUGGAAUAAUGAAAUAGGACGUUUGAUUCUAUUUUGUUGGUUUCUAGGAUCGACGUAAUGAUUAAUAGGGAUAGUUGGGGGCAUUAGUAUUCAAUUGUCAGAGGUGAAAUUCUUGGAUUUAUUGAAGACUAACUACUGCGAAAGCAUUUGCCAAGGAUGUUUUCAUUAAUCAAGAACGAAAGUUAGGGGAUCGAAGACGAUCAGAUACCGUCGUAGUCUUAACCAUAAACUAUGCCGACUAGGGAUCGGAUGAUGUUAAUUUUUUAAUGACUCAUUCGGCGCCUUACG